GACGAACGCUGGCGGCGUGCUUAACACAUGCCAGUCGAACGGAAAGGCCCUGCUUUUGUGGGGUGCUCGAGUGGCGAACGGGUGAGUAACACGUGAGUAACCUGCCCUUGACUUUGGGAUAACUUCAGGAAACUGGGGCUAAUACCGGAUAGGAGCUCCUGCUGCAUGGUGGGGGUUGGAAAGUUUCGGCGGUUGGGGAUGGACUCGCGGGUUAUCCGCUUGUUGGUGGGGUAGUGGCUUACCAAGGCUUUGACGGGUAGCCGGCCUGAGAGGGUGACCGGCCACAAUGGGACUGAGAUACGGCCCAGACUCCUACGGGAGGCAGCAGUGGGGAAUAUUGCACAAUGGGCGGAAGCCUGAUGCAGCAACGCCGCGUGCGGGAUGACGGCCUUCGGGUUGUAAACCGCUUUCGCCUGUGACGAAGCGUGAGUGACGGUAAUGGGUAAAGAAGCACCGGCUAACUACGUG
rnacentral:rRNA from 1 species